UACGUAGGGUGCGAGCGUUGUCCGGAAUUACUGGGCGUAAAGAGCUCGUAGGUGGUUUGUCGCGUUGUUCGUGAAAACUCACAGCUUAACUGUGGGCGUGCGGGCGAUACGGGCAGACUGGAGUACUGCAGGGGAGACUGGAAUUCCUGGUGUAGCAGUGGAAUGCGCAGAUAUCAGGAGGAACACCGGUGGCGAAGGCGGGUCUCUGGGCAGUAACUGACGCUGAGGAGCGAAAGCGUGGGGAGCGAACAGG
rnacentral:rRNA from 1 species